GUGUGUGUGUGUUUAACCUGCUGACACAGUAGAAGGAGAUGAGUUUGUAGAUGUCAUCAAAAACUAGCGCCGAACCAUCUAAGUGAAGAACUGCAGCGGAAGAAAAAAAAACAAAACAAAACAGGCUAGUUCCGGAAUGUCCACAUUGUCAAGGCAGGCGCACCGACAGCAUCAUCCCGUGCUCCUCUGUGCUUUGAACCAGAAAGAUCUGCUCGUCCCGAUCAGAUGAUGUCAAGUUGUAGAAAGUUGAUGUGGAAGAGGAAUGGGACAUUAUACAGUAAAUCUGAGUAGUGUAUCUGACACACUAUUUUCUGACAUACUAUGUACCAGAGAAAACCCACGCAGGCGCGGGAAGAACAUGCAAAUUUCACAGGAAGGCCGGAGGUGGAAUUAAACCCUGCACCUCUGCGCUCUGAGGGCAACGUGGUAAUCAGUCAACCACCGUGCCACCGACUCCACAUACAAAAUAUUAAAAUAUACAUUUUCAUAGUAAAUGUACUUGUCCUGAGAAAAGAAUGCUUGAAAAAAAAAUCCCUAAAAUACAAUUUUUUCUCUUGUCCCACACCCAGUGACCAAAUUGAAUUUCAAAUAAAAGUUAAAAUGGAAAAAACAAAA